UCCUCGAUAGUCUAGUGGUGAGGAUAUCGGCUUGUCAUGACACGAUUCGCCGGGGACCGGGGUUCAAUUCCCCGUCGAGGAG
rnacentral:tRNA from 1 species